rnacentral:rRNA from 1 species
GCUUACGGCCAUACCACCCUGAACACGCCCGAUCUCGUCCGAUCUCGGAAGCUAAGCAGGGUCGGCCUGGUUAGUACUUGGAUGGGAGACGCCUGGAAUAACCAGGUGCUGUAAGCU